rnacentral:sRNA from 1 species
GUACAGUGCGGUCCGCAAGGGUUGCAGAGACACGGGAGUGUCAAGUUGCAAUAAGGCCAGUCCGUUAUCAGACGUGGGAACGUCGGCACCGAUUCGGUGC